rnacentral:rRNA from 1 species
UACGUAGGCAGCGAGCGUUGUUCGGAGUUACUGGGCGUAAAGGGUGUGUAGGCGGUUGUUUAAGUUUGGUGUGAAAUCUCCCGGCUCAACUGGGAGGGUGCGCCGGAAACUGGAGUGCUUGAGCGUGGGAGAGGAAAGCGGAAUUCCUGGUGUAGCGGUGAAAUGCGUAGAUAUCAGGAGGAACACCUGUGGUGUAGACGGCUUUCUGGACCAUAGCUGACGCUGAGACACGAAAGCGUGGGUAGCAAACAGG